CCUACGGGGGGCUGCAGUAAGGAAUAUUGCGCAAUGGGGGAAACCCUGAAGCAGCAACGCCGCGUGAAGGAUGAAGGGCUUUUGCUCGUAAACUUCUGUAGUGAGGGAAAAAACUUCCACUCUGUGGAAUAUGAUGGUACCUCAAAAGUAAGCCCCGGCUAACUACGUGCCAGCAGCCGCGGUAAUACGUAGGGGGCAAACGUUGUCCGGAUUUACUGGGUGUAAAGGGUGCUCAGGCGGUUUUGUAAGUCAGAAGUGAAAUCCUAGAGCUUAACUCUGGAACUGCUUUUGAUACUGCAAGGCUUGAAUGUGGAAGAGGAGGAUGGAAUUUCUGGUGUAGCAGUGAAAUGCGUAGAUAUCAGAAAGAACACCAGUGGCGAAGGCGGUCCUCUGGUCCACUAUUGACGCUAAAGCACGAAAGCGUGGGGAGCAAACAGGAUUAGAUACCCCAGUAGUC
rnacentral:rRNA from 1 species